AGCAUGAGUAAUGAAAAUUUCAUUUAUGUCGUUUUUCUUUAUUUGCACCGCCUGCACCGUUUUCCCACCGGUGUAGCAAAAGUUGCACCCAAACCGUUCUUUUAUUCCGCAGGUAGCACACCGUUUUUACACUCGAUUGCCACCGGUGCAGAAAAUCCUACACCCUGAUCGAGCUGGGUGUAGCAGCAAAUCAUGAAUAACAGAAACAGCUGUUCUAUCUGUUUGAAGAAUGACAUUUUGUUUUGAUUGACGCCUUCACUAAUACUAUCAUACGCUGUCAAAAUAUUGCACCGAAACCGUUCUAUUUUCCGGUGUCAAUUGUUACACUCGCACGGUGCACCGUCGGGAAUAAUCGAAAACGACAU
rnacentral:lncRNA from 1 species